GAUGAACGCUAGCGGCAGGCCUAAUACAUGCAAGUCGAACGGUAAAUAUUUAGCAAUAGAUAUGAGAGUGACGUACGGGUGCGUAACACGUAUGCAACCUACCCUUUACAGGAGGAUAGC
rnacentral:rRNA from 1 species